rnacentral:rRNA from 1 species
GACGAACGCUGGCGGCGUGCCUAAUACAUGCAAGUCGAACGCUUCUUUCCUCACGAGUGUUUGCCCUCGAUUGGAAAGGGGGGUGGAGGACCGCUUAGUUACCCGUCAGUAACCUACCCAUUAGCGGGGGAUAACCCUAGCUAACAGGUGCUAAUAUGUCAUACCAGAUUAUUCAGCAGUGCAUAAGAGUGUAGGUCGCUUUUGGGUGUCGCUCCUGGCCGGAUCCGCGGUGCAUUAGCUAGUUGGUGAGGUAACGGCUCACCAAGGCGACGAUGCAUAGCCGACCUGAGAGGGUGAUCGGCCACACUGGGACUGAGACACGGCCCAGACUCCUACGGGAGGCAGCAGUAGGGAAUCUUCGGCAAUGGACGAAAGUCUGACCGAGCAACGCCGCGUGAGUGAAGAAGGUCUUCGGAUCGUAAAACUCUGUUGUUAGAGAAGAACAAAUACGUUAGUAACUGAGCGCCUCCUGACGGUACCUAACCAGAAAGCCACGGCUAACUACGUG